AUACAUGCAAGUCGAACGAGAGCGACCGGUGCUUGCACUGGUCAAUCUAGUGGCGAACGGGUGAGUAACACGUGGGUAACCUGCCCAUCAGAGGGGGAUAACAUCCGGAAACGGAUGCUAAAACCGCAUAGGUCUUCGAACCGCAUGGUUUGAAGAGGAAAAGAGGCGCAAGCUUCUGCUGAUGGAUGGACCCGCGGUGCAUUAGCUAGUUGGUGAGGUAACGGCUCACCAAGGCCGUGAUGCAUAGCCGACCUGAGAGGGUGAUCGGCCACAUUGGGACUGAGACACGGCCCAAACUCCUACGGGAGGCAGCAGUAGGGAAUCUUCCGCAAUGGACGCAAGUCUGACGGAGCAACGCCGCGUGAGUGAAGAAGGUUUUCGGAUCGUAAAACUCUGUUGUUAGAGAAGAACAAGUGCUAGAGUAACUGUUAGCGCCUUGACGGUAUCUAACCAGAAAGCCACGGCUAACUACGUGCCAGCAGCCGCGGUAAUACGUAGGUGGCAAGCGUUGUCCGGAUUUAUUGGGCGUAAAGCGAGCGCAGGCGGUUCCUUAAGUCUGAUGUGAAAGCCCCCGGCUCAACCGGGGAGGGUCAUUGGAAACUGGGGAACUUGAGCGCAGAAGAGGAGAGUGGAAUUCCAUGUGUAGCGGUGAAAUGCGUAGAUAUGUGGAGGAACACCAGUGGCGAAGGCGACUCUCUGGUCUGUAACUGACGCUGAGGCUCGAAAGCGUGGGUAGCAAACAGGAUUAGAUACCCUGGUAGUCCACGCCGUAAACGAUGAGUGCUAAGUGUUGGAGGGUUUCCGCCCUUCAGUG
rnacentral:rRNA from 1 species